AAAUUUUCAACGACGCAGUUACUGGAUGAUUGAUAAGUGUGUUUCUAGAAGAAUUUAUUCACUUUUUUGGCCUUAAUGCAGUGAUCUCUCUUUUCUAUCAACUUGCUUUAAAUGCAGUAAACAUUUAGUCUUACGUGCUUACAAUUUGAUUAAUUGCAAACCCUAAACUCUAAUAUGCCACUGCUGCAGGUAUCUCUCGCAUAUAGUUCUUGUCCACUAUCUAGACGUAAAGGUUAUGACUUACAUUGUCAUUCAUAUUUCAGUAGCAUUUCAAAAUCUGUGCAGUUAGUCCUUGAUAUUCUUACACACCCUUUCUUUCAGUAAUUGGUUGUAUGGAGAGAACAAACUCUUGUAAGUAAACGCAAAAGGGUUUUAGAUAUAGACUUCUAAAGUGAAGGAAGUUGUGGUUCCACCGUACAACCAAUUAGCAAUAUGGAGAAUAACCAAACUCCUUAUAAGCACGUGCAAGGUCCAUUCUUUCUCCAAUGUUGCGAUUCAGUCUCAAUAUAAAGGAAAACUACUCUAUUGGAUCAGUUAUACAACAAUCUAGAUAUGACGUUAGAUGAGAUCUAGGCCCUUAUGACCUUACAAUUUGUCCGUCAUAUCCAUGUUCUACCUAUUGACAUUUAUGAUAUAUAACAUGAUCAG
rnacentral:lncRNA from 1 species